AGAUAUCUUAGUGAAGAGGUCGAAGUUAAAGAACUUCUUCUUAAAAAUAAAAAUUUUGUUUUUGGUAUAAUGCGUCUUUUAGAAAGUGUUCGCACUUCUCCACGUAACAAAGCUGUGGCAGCCUCUAUUUUCCGUCAAUUUUCUAAUCAAAAGCUCUCGUCUAAUACACAAAACUACAAAAGCCAGCCUUCACAGAAUAAUAACCCGCCGAAAAAAGUUGUAGUUGGGAAUGGUAAUUUACUAAUUCCUAGUGAAGAAAAUAAUAUUCAGAAAAGCGACAUUAAUAGCGAUCUUAGUGAACAGUUUUCUAAUUCUGAAUGUCAAGUCUCUUGUAAAUCUUUAAUAAGAAAAAAAAAAGAAAGAACUGAAAGAACAAUAAAGGGGUUUAAAGGAAAUACUUUUUCUUUUGUUUUAUUAGUGGAUCAUAUAAACGACGUACAGAAAGAUGUUGAGAUGGGAUUACUACGUUGCAAGGGAGUUGUGAGUUUUACUAUUGAUAAGAGCACUUCUACUGUGACCGUCUGGGCUUUAAAGGAUAUAAAUCCACGUGACGUAUACAAAAGCAUCUUCAACGUCAAUAGUUCGGUGAAUCCCCGUCAAUUAAUUUCGGACGCCAACGGAACUCGCGCUGUAAUUAAUCUUUCUAGUGAAUCCGAUGUGCUUGACCACGAAGGUUACCUUAUUGAACCCGCUCAAGAAGCUGAAAAACCUUUUAAAUUUGGAAUUUUAAGUAAAUUUGGAGAUAACAAAGAAACCACUAAUUCUUCUUGGCUGGGAAGUAUCGGAAAGUACA